rnacentral:rRNA from 1 species
AGUUAGCCGCUCCUGCUUCUGCGGGUACCAUCAUUAUUGUCCCCGCUGAAAGACCUUUACGACCCGAGGGCCUUCAUCGGUCACGCGGCGUCGCUGGAUCAGGGUUUCCCCCAUUGUCCAAGAUUCCCCA